CUACGGGGUGCAGCAGUGGGGAAUAUUGCACAAUGGGCGCAAGCCUGAUGCAGCCAUGCCGCGUGUAUGAAGAAGGCCUUCGGGUUGUAAAGUACUUUCAGCGGGGAGGAAGGGAGUAAAGUUAAUACCUUUGCUCAUUGACGUUACCCGCAGAAGAAGCACCGGCUAACUCCGUACCAGCAGCCGCGGUAAUACGGGGGGUGCAAGCGUUAAUCGGAAUUACUGGGCGUAAAGCGCACGCAGGCGGUUUGUUAAGUCAGAUGUGAAAUCCCCGGGCUCAACCUGGGAACUGCAUCUGAUACUGGCAAGCUUGAGUCUCGUAGAGGGGGGUAGAAUUCCAGGUGUAGCGGUGAAAUGCGUAGAGAUCUGGAGGAAUACCGGUGGCGAAGGCGGCCCCCUGGACGAAGACUGACGCUCAGGUGCGAAAGCGUGGGGAGCAAACAGGAUUAGAUACCCUCGUAGUC
rnacentral:rRNA from 1 species